UACGUAGGGUGCGAGCGUUAAUCGGAAUUACUGGGCGUAAAGUGUGCGCAGGCGGCCGAGCAAGUCGAGUGUGAAAGCCCCGAGCUUAACUUGGGAACUGCGCUCGAAACUACUUGGCUAGAGUGUGGCAGAGGGAGGUGGAAUUCCACGUGUAGCGGUGAAAUGCGUAGAGAUGUGGAGGAACACCGAUGGCGAAGGCAGCCUCCUGGGCCAACACUGACGCUGAGGUGCGAAAGCGUGGGGAGCAAACAGG
rnacentral:rRNA from 1 species